GACGUAGGGGGCCAGCGUUGUUCGGAAUUACUGGGUGUAAAGGGUUCGUAGGCGGUGCGGCAAGUUGGGAGUGAAAUCUCUGGGCUUAACCCAGAGGCUGCUUCCGAAACUGCUGUGCUUGAGUGUGGGAGAGGCGCGUGGAAUUGCAGGUGUAGCGGUGAAAUGCGUAGAUAUCUGCAGGAACACCCGUGGCGAAAGCGGCGCGCUGGACCACUACUGACGCUGAGGAACGAAAGCGUGGGGAGCAAACAGG
rnacentral:rRNA from 1 species